rnacentral:rRNA from 1 species
UACGUAGGGUGCAAGCGUUGUUCGGAAUUACUGGGCGUAAAGCGCGCGUAGGCGGGUUGGAAAGUCGAUUGUGAAAGCCCUGGGCUUAACCUGGGAACUGCAGUCGAAACUCCCAAUCUUGAGUGCCUGAGAGGAUGGCGGAAUUCCCGGUGUAGUAGUGAAAUACGUAGAUAUCGGGAAGAACACCUGAGGCGAAGGCGGCUAUCUGGCGGUGCACUGACGCUGAGGCGCGAAAGCGUGGGGAGCAAACAGG